rnacentral:rRNA from 1 species
GACGAACCGUGCGAACGUUAUUCGGAAUCACUGGGCUUAAAGGGCGCGUAGGCGGGCUGCCAAGUCAGAGGUGAAAUCCUGCGGCUCAACCGCGGAAGUGCCCCUGAUACUGGUCGUCUCGAGGGGGGUAGGGGCAUGUGGAACUUCCGGUGGAGCGGUGAAAUGCGUAGAUAUCGGAAGGAACGCCGGUGGCGAAAGCGACGUGCUGGACCCCUUCUGACGCUGAGGCGCGAAAGCCAGGGGAGCAAACGGG